GACGAACGCUGGCGGCGUGCUUAACACAUGCAAGUCGAACGGAAAGGCCCUGCUUUUGUGGGGUGCUCGAGUGGCGAACGGGUGAGUAACACGUGAGUAACCUGCCCUUGACUUUGGGAUAACUUCAGGAAACUGGGGCUAAUACCGGAUAGGAGCUCCUGCUGCAGGGUGGGGGUUGGAAAGGUUCGGCGGUUGGGGAUGGACUCGCGGCUUAUCAGCUUGUUGGUGGGGUAGUGGCUUACCAAGGCUUUGACGGGUAGCCGGCCUGAGAGGGUGACCGGCCACAUUGGGACUGAGAUACGGCCCAGACUCCUACGGGAGGCAGCAGUGGGGAAUAUUGCACAAUGGGCGGAAGCCUGAUGCAGCAACGCCGCGUGCGGGAUGACGGCCUUCGGGUUGUAAACCGCUUUCGCCUGUGACGAAGCGUGAGUGACGGUAAUGGGUAAAGAAGCACCGGCUAACUACGUG
rnacentral:rRNA from 1 species